rnacentral:lncRNA from 1 species
AUAUCAUCCUUUAGUUAUUGUUAUUAUUUAAUAUAUGUAUAAACCUCAUUAUUCUUCUUAUUAAUAGCUGUGCAUUGUGUAUGUUUGACAGAGUUGUAAUAAGAAUAUAUAGAUACGUGUUCCCCUUAAAUUACAUCGUUGCCUUAUUCCUCCACGUUUCAUUCUCUCCUUAUUUCUCUCAGUCGUCCUGGAUUGCUUUAUUUAAUAGUUUGUGUCUCUUCAACCUCGUCAAGACACACCAAAAUGUCCAGGAGUUGUCCCCUGAGCUCAAUUAGGAGACCCAAGUUGAUCGAGCCAUCGAAGUUGAAGAUAAAUUUAUAUAAGAACAGUUGCUAAAAAUAUUACACGUGAAAAUUCAUGGGUUAACAAAGUGGAAUUUAUCAUCAAAAAAUAUAUUUUUCACCACAACAAGUUGAGUGAUGGGAGCUUGGGAUCUUCCAGAUAGUAUUUUAGAUUUAAUAUUUCUUUUUCUAAUGGCUCCAAAACAUAAAAUCGACAUAUCAUAUACGUCUUUAAGUAACAAACAAAAAUAAUAUGGAAUUGAAGACACGGAGAAGAAGAAGUCGGAAUUUCUGUAGAGAAAUUUAAGCUACUCCGUUAUCGAAUAAAUAUUAAAAAUAUUUACAACACUGAAAUUAUAAGCAUAAACAACAUCAAAUUAAGUAUAUUAUCGUCUUCAAAUCUAAUUGUAUGAAAUCUUUAAUAUAUCUAGACUUGUCUUAAAGUAAUACAUAUUAUUAUUAAUCAUUAUUUUAUGAUACUUAAGUAUCUUGGCUUUGUGUUCCUCGUUUGACAUUAUCAGAACAAUAUUAUUAAUGAUUAUAAAUUGAAAUGUCUUCUAGUUCUUCAACAACCUCUGAAGACCUGAAGAUACAUAUUGAAAGUGCCCAUAAGAAAGAAAAACAUUUCGAAUGUAGUUACUGCUCUAAAUCUUUCUCACUUUCUGGAGACUUAAAGAGGCAUAUUGAAAGUGUUCAUGAAAAGCUAAAACAAUUCCAAUGUAAUCAAUGUCCUACUUCUUUUACACGAUCUGGAAACUUAAAGACGCAUAUCCAAGGUGUGCAUGUUAAAAUAAGACAAUUCCAAUGUAGUUACUGCUUUAAAUUUUUAAACGUUCUGGACACUUGAAGAGACAUAUUGAAGGUGUUCAUGAAGAGAGUAACAAAUUCCAAGGUUGUUCCUGUUUUAGUACUUUUUCACAAUUAGGAAGCUUACAGAUGCAUUAUAAAACUCAUCAUAAGUAGACAUUGAAGGUAUAUGGAUGUGCAACUUUUUCAAGAUAGUAAAAUAUAUUUAAACAUUCUAUAAAAAAAAAAAAAACUUUAUUUUUCUUUUGUUUACAAUUUAUAGUUAUUUAUUAUUUAAAAUGCAUUAUGCACUUUUUCGCUCCGAUGAUUGUAUGGUUAUUCCAAAGUUCAAUGUGUUUCUAUUUUUUUAGAAUUCUUAUAACCUAAAAAUAUAUAUUUAUCCUUA